rnacentral:rRNA from 1 species
UGGGGAAUAUUGCACAAUGGGCGCAAGCCUGAUGCAGCCAUGCCGCGUGUAUGAAGAAGGCCUUCGGGUUGUAAAGUACUUUCAGCGGGGAGGAAGGGAGUAAAGUUAAUACCUUUGCUCAUUGACGUUACCCGCAGAAGAAGCACCGGCUAACUCCGUGCCAGCAGCCGCGGUAAUACGGAGGGUGCAAGCGUUAAUCGAAAUUACUGGGCGUAAAGCGCACGCAGGCGGUUUGUUAAGUCAGAUGUGAAAUCCUCGGGCUCAACCUGGGAACUGCAUCUGAUACUGGCAAGCUUGAGUCUCGUAGAGGGGGGUAGAAUUCCAGGUGUAGCGGUGAAAUGCGUAGAGAUCUGGAGGAAUACCGGUGGCGAAGGCGGCCCCCUGGACGAAGACUGACGCUCAGGUGCGAAAGCGUGGGGAGCAAACAGG